UACGUAGGGAGCGAGCGUUGUCCGGAAUUACUGGGCGUAAAGGGUGCGUAGGCGGUAGGCUAAGUCAGAUGUGAAAUCCCCGGGCUUAACUCGGGGGGUGCAUUUGAAACUGGUCUACUUGAGUGCAGGAGAGGAAAGCGGAAUUCCUAGUGUAGCGGUGAAAUGCGUAGAUAUUAGGAGGAACACCAGUGGCGAAGGCGGCUUUCUGGACUGUAACUGACGCUGAGGCACGAAAGCGUGGGGAGCAAACAGGAUUAGAUACCCUGGUAGUCCACGCUGUAAACGAUGGAUACUAGGUGUGGGGGAGAUACAACCUCCGUGCCGCAGCAAACGCAAUAAGUAUCCCGCCUGGGGAGUACGGCCGCAAGGCUGAA
rnacentral:rRNA from 1 species